CGUCCCCUCCGGCGCCGGAACCCGGGGUUGCGCCGUUGGUUCCGCGGCGUUCCGUUGGCCCUCGGGUUGCCGGCGGCUUGGGGGCCGUGGUCGCCUCUCCCUCCCACUCAAGGUCCCGGGUCGCGCGGCGCGUCGUUGUGACCCCAGGUCGAGGAGGCCGUGACCCACACCCAGUGAGAACGACAGAGGCUGGCCUGCUGAGACCGAGUCCGUACCCCGAACGUUAUCGUGCCGACGUGGACGCGCCUUCCGCUGGGCAGGGACCCCCGUCCGUGCUUCCCUUCCGAGGGCGCCGCCACUGGCUAAGCUCCGCCCGGCGUCCCCCGAAUCCCUCUUGCAGCCAUGCCCGACGUUGGGACUUCCGCAUCGUCCCAUUUUAGCAAGACCCCCCCCCCCCGUGUGUGCUCGCCCUCGACUUCGGCGCGAGUUCCUGUGUCCUCCCCGCACCCUCCAGUUGCUGUGUGAGCACCCUGGCUUGCCUUCAGCAAGGAUCCUGUUAGGUCAGUUCAGACAGACCCCCCCCCAUGUUUACUCUUAGUAAUUGUCUAUUCAGAGCCCCCCGCCCUGCUCCUUGGCUAUGAAUCCCCACUUGCCUGUGGUGUAUUCAGAGUUGAGCCCAAGUUCUUGUCCUCGCCGCACAUUUCCACCCUCGGUGGUCCCUCUACCCACGGUGGUGGCUCCCCUACCUUGAGUAAAAUCUUCUUACCAUGCUUUGA